UGUUGGUUUCUCCCUUCUGACGAACCAUGAUGUCAUUUAUUUGGUGUUGUGGGGAAUCAGGACUGUUACUUUGAAAAAAUUAGAGCGUUUAAAGCAGGCUCACGCUUGAAUACAUUAGCAUGGAAUAAUGAAAUAGGACGUUUGAUUCUAUUUUGUUGGUUUCUAGGAUCGACGUAAUGAUUAAUAGGGAUAGUUGGGGGCAUUAGUAUUCAAUUGUCAGAGGUGAAAUUCUUGGAUUUAUUGAAGACUAACUACUGCGAAAGCAUUUGCCAAGGAUGUUUUCAUUAAUCAAGAACGAAAGUUAGGGGAUCGAAGACGAUCAGAUACCGUCGUAGUCUUAACCAUAAACUAUGCCGACUAGGGAUCGGAUGAUGUUAAUUUUUUAAUGACUCAUUCGGCGCCUUACG
rnacentral:rRNA from 1 species